GAUGAACGCUGGCGGCGUGCCUAAUACAUGCAAGUCGAGCGAACAGACGAGGAGCUUCCCCCUCUGACGUUAGCGGCGGACGGGCGAGUAACACGUGGAUAACCUACCUAUAAGACUGGGAUAACUUCGGGAAACCGGAGCUAAUACCGGAUAAUAUAUUGAACCGCAUGGUUCAAUAGUGAAUGACGGUUUUGCUGGCACUUAUAGAUGUCUCCGCGCCGCAUUAGCUAGUUGGUAAGGUAACGGCUUACCAAGGCGACGAUGCGUAGCCGACCUGAGAGGGUGAUCGGCCACACUGGAACUGAGACGCGGUCCAGACUCCUACGGGAGGCAGCAGUAGGGAAUCUUCCGCAAUGGGCGAAAGCCUGACGGAGCAACGCCGCGUGAGUGAUGAAGGUCUUCGGAUCGUGAAACUCUGUUAUUAGGGAAGAACAAAUGUGUAAGUAACUAUGCACGUCUUGACGGUACCUAAUCAGAAAGCCACGGCUAACUACGUGCCAGCCGCCGCGGUAAAAC
rnacentral:rRNA from 1 species